rnacentral:misc_RNA from 1 species
GAUGAAGAACGCAGCGAAAUGCGGUAAGUAAUGUGAAUUGCAGAAUUCAGUGAAUCAUCGAAUCUUUGAACGCACAUUGCGCCCGCCAGUAUUCUGGCGGGCAUGCCUGUUCGAGCGUCAUUUCAACCCUCAAGACCCCUUCGGGGGACUUGGUGUUGGGGACCGGCACAGGGGCCUGCCUGCUUGUCUUGCAGCGCCCUCGCCGCCCCCGAAAUGAAUUGGCGGCCUCGUCGCGGCCUCCCCUGCGUAGUAGCACAACCUCGCAACGGGAACGUGACGGCGGCCACUGCCGUAAAACAACCCCAAUUUUAUUAGAGUUGACCUCGAAUCAGGUAGGAAUACCCGCUGAACUUAAGCAUAUCAAUAAGCGGAGGA